GGCCUCGUAGCUCAGCUGGUAGAACAUGCGCGUACAAAGCGUAGGCGGUGUCCAUGCGUGGGUUCGAAUCCCACCCAGGCUA
rnacentral:tRNA from 1 species